rnacentral:rRNA from 1 species
UACGUAGGGGGCAAGCGUUGUCCAGAUUUAUUGGGCGUAAAGAGCGUGUAGGCGGUUAGGUAGGUCCGUUGUGAAAACUCGAGGCUCAACCUCGAGACGCCGAUGGAAACCAUCUAACUAGAGUCCGGAAGAGGAGAGUGGAAUUCCUGGUGUAGCGGUGAAAUGCGCAGAUAUCAGGAAGAACACCCGUGGCUAAGGCGGCUCUCUAGUACGGUACUGACGCUGAGACGCGAAAGCGUGGGGAGCGAACAGG